rnacentral:ribozyme from 1 species
AAGGUGGUUUGUGUAAUUUAAUGCAGAGAUAUUGAAGACUCAAAAACAAUAGCUAACCUGUCUGCGAACUGGAUUGUACAGCAAACACCUG